UGGCGGCAUGCUUAAUACAUGCAAGUCGAACGGUAACAUGCCCUCCGGGGUGAUGACGAGUGGCGGACGGGUGAGUAACGCAUAGGAAUCUACCUAGUAGUGGGGGACAACUUGGGGAAACUCAAGCUAAUACCGCAUACAUCCUACGGGAAAAAGAGGGCCUCUUCUUGAAAGCUCUUGCUAUUAGAUGAGCCUAUGUCAGAUUAGCUUGUUGGUGGGGUAACGGCCUACCAAGGCGACGAUCUGUAGCUGGUCUGAGAGGAUGAUCAGCCACUCUGGGACUGAGACACGGCCCAGACUCCUACGGGAGGCAGCAGUAGGGAAUAUUGGACAAUGGGCGCAAACCUGAUCCAGCAAUGCCGCGUGUGUGAAGAAGGCCUGCGGGUUGUAAAGCACUUUCAAUUAGGAAGAAAAGCUCAAGGUUAAUAACCUUGAGUCUUGACAUUAUCAAUAGAAGAAGCACCGGCUAACUCUGUGCCAGCAGCCGCGGUAAUACAGAGGGUGCGAGCGUUAAUCGGAAUUACUGGGCGUAAAGAGUACGUAGGCGGUUAUAUCAGUCGGAUGUGAAAGCCCAAGGCUUAACCUUGGAAUUGCAUUCGAUACUAUAUAACUAGAGUACAGUA
rnacentral:rRNA from 1 species